rnacentral:rRNA from 1 species
AUUGAACGCUGGCGGCAUGCCUUACACAUGCAAGUCGAACGGCAGCACGGGGGCAACCCUGGUGGCGAGUGGCGAACGGGUGAGUAAUGCAUCGGAACGUGCCCAGUAGUGGGGGAUAACCAGUCGAAAGACUGGCUAAUACCGCAUACGACCCAAGGGUGAAAGCGGGGGACCGUAAGGCCUCGCGCUAUUGGAGCGGCCGAUGUCUGAUUAGCUAGUUGGCGGGGUAAGAGCCCACCAAGGCGACGAUCAGUAGCUGGUCUGAGAGGACGACCAGCCACACUGGGACUGAGACACGGCCCAGACUCCUACGGCAGGCAGCAGUGGGGAAUUUUGGACAAUGGGCGCAAGCCUGAUCCAGCCAUGCCGCGUGCGGGAAGAAGGCCUUCGGGUUGUAAACCGCUUUUGGCAGGAACGAAACGGCGCAGGCCAAUACCUUGCGCUAAUGACGGUACCUGCAGAAUAAGCACCGGCUAACUACGUGCCAGCCGCCGCCGUAAUAC